rnacentral:misc_RNA from 1 species
UCACAAGAUUCUGUGAUGGGCAUUCUAUUGAAUUUUGCUCUUUGAUCAAACUACGGAUAAAUAAUUGUCCUGCCAAUCCUCCAAGUCCAUCUCUUUUUUAUGAAAAGGUUGCAAUCCCUAGCUUGGAGGAUUUGAUAAUAGAAAAAAUGAGUAACUUGGAAAGUAUAUGGCACAACCAACUCGCCGUAGGUUCCUUCUGCAAACUAAAAUCAAUAUUCAUUGAUGAAUGUAAAAACUUGCACACUCUUUUUCCAUCUAAUGCCUUAAGAAGAUUCCAGAGUUUGGAAUGGUUGAAAAUAUGGAGUUGUCAUUCACUAUAAGAGAUAUAUCGACUUCCGGAGUUCUAUGUUGAAGAAGCAAGUUUUGUAACAGAAUUUGAUUUGAGGUCUAUGCAUAUACAUAAUCUAGACAAAUUGAAGCAUAUAUGGAGUAGAGAUCCGCAAGGAAUUUUCACCUUCAAUAAUCUAGAUUUGGUAGAACUUUCCUAUUGCAAGGUUUUGAAAAAUGUCUUUCCCGCUUCCGUAGCACAAAACCUUUCACGACUUGAAAGGCUUGAAGUAUAUUAUUGUGGGGUGGAGAAGAUUGUUGCAAAGACAGAAAGUGUAGAAGUAGCCUCUUCUUUCGUGUUCCCAAAACUACUCUCCUUGACUCUCACAAGUCUAAAAGAAAUCAGGACAUUUUCUCCAGGAAUGCAUAGUUUUGAAUUCCCAAAGUUAAAAGAUAUGACGGUGCAUUGUUGUGGAAAUGGAAUGGAGUUUGGUUCAAAAUUGUUUGGUUUAAAGGAAAAACAUGGAGAGGACCAACAUCACAUCACUAUUCAACAACCGUUACACUUGGAGAA